rnacentral:lncRNA from 1 species
ACACCCUUGGCAUAUGGAGGUUCCCAGGCUAGGGGUCUAAUUGGAGCUACAGCUGCUGCCAGCCUACACCAGAGCCACAGCAGCGCCAGAUCUGAGCCACGUCUCCAUCUUUGACCUACACCACAGCUCACGGCAAUGCCAGAUCCUUAACCCUCUGAGCGAGGCCAGGGAUCGAACCCGCAACCUCAUGGUUCCUACUCAGAUUUCUUUCUGCUGCACCAUGACGGGAAUUCCUCCUCUUGGAAUUUUAGUAGCCUUUGACUUUCUAGGCCCAUAGUCAUAACCAAUCCAUGUUCUGAUAGCUCUGGGUUCCUAUCCAGUGGUGACACAGGGAAUCAGGUAGCUCCAGUGUCUGGUCUGCCCUUCCAUCACUGUAGGGGAGCAGCCCCAUAUGAGCCAUGGCCAUGGAGAGGCACACAGAUUUCUCCCGGUGUUUCUCCAAGAGAAAUCCUGAACCAAGCCCCUGUUUCAAGCAGAAAGCCUGGCUCCAGCCUCUCUCCAUAAAUGAAACACCUUGGGACUCUGUUAGCUGAAGGAGUCAAAGCCUCGGUGCCUCUGCUCCAAAAAAGGAUGCUCAAGAUACAAACCCAAGAACAGCCCCAAAAUCUGGCCCCUGGUUUCAUCCCUGGUUCCCCAUCUACAUCCAGAAUGAUAUUCACCUUACUUUUUUUUUUUUUUUUUUUUUUUAGGGCCCCACUCUCAGCAUAUGGAGGUUAAGGUUCUGGUGUUGUCACUGCUGUGGCUCUGGUCACUACCGUGACUCGGGUUUGAUCCCUGACCUUGGAACUUCUGAGUGCUUCAGGCAAAAAAAGAACAAAAAAGAAAAAAAUUUAAUAAGAAGCUUAUUUGACAGCGUGCUGCUGUUCCCAUUUCUUCAUGCUGCUCCAUGUGAAUGCCACAGUGUAGCAGAGUGUGGGAGCUUACCUGGCAGAACUAUGCACACCUGUCCAGACAGCAAAGAGCAUCCCCAGAACUUGCACAACUGCAUCUGUUCUCCUGUCUGCUGCAGGGCGGAUGUCGUUGUGGUUACAUUGAAAAUCCACCAGUUCUGUGAAAAAUAUCAUUGGGGUCACAAAGCCUCCUUGGUGGGUUUGACAUGUUGUCUUGACAUCCCCUCAACCCUCUGCCAUGCUCUGCACAAAGGGGUUAUCACCCCCAUGGCUGACACUUUUCUUAGCUGCAAGGCUGGAAGACCUCCAAGCCAGCUGCAGCUCACUUCCAGGAGAUGGGGAUAGGAUGAUUCUCUUUUCAAGCAUUGCACCCCAGAAUCUGACCAUCAUUGUUCUUAGGGACCUGGUUCCCAAGAUCCAAAUGUCUGCAGGUUGACUCUGGUUCUUCUUCCAUGGGCCGGGUGA